rnacentral:rRNA from 1 species
GACGGAGGGUGCUAGCGUUGUUCGGAAUUACUGGGCGUAAAGGGCGCGUAGGCGGCCCUGUCAGUCGGGUGUGAAAGCCCGGGGCUCAACCCCGGAACGGCACCCGAGACGGCAGGGCUGGAGACCGGGAGAGGAGGGUGGAAUAGCCAGUGUAGAGGUGAAAUUCGUAGAUAUUGGAUGGAACACCGGUGGCGAAAGCGGCUCUCUGGCCCGGUUCUGACGCUGAGGCGCGAAAGCGUGGGGAGCAAACGGG